rnacentral:rRNA from 1 species
CCUACGGGUGGCAGCAGUGGGGAAUAUUGGACAAUGGGGGCAACCCUGAUCCAGCCAUGCCGCGUGUGUGAAGAAGGCCCUCGGGUUGUAAAGCACUUUCAGUGAGGAAGAACGCCUGGUGGUUAAUACCCAUCAGGAAAGACAUCACUCACAGAAGAAGCACCGGCUAACUCCGUGCCAGCAGCCGCGGUAAUACGGAGGGUGCGAGCGUUAAUCGGAAUUACUGGGCGUAAAGCGCGCGUAGGUGGCUUGAUAAGCCGGUUGUGAAAGCCCCGGGCUCAACCUGGGAACGGCAUCCGGAACUGUCAAGCUAGAGUGCAGGAGAGGAAGGUAGAAUUCCAGGUGUAGCGGUGAAAUGCGUAGAGAUCGGGAGGAAUACCAGUGGCGAAGGCGGCCUUCUGGACUGACACUGACACUGAGGUGCGAAAGCGUGGGUAGCAAACAGGAUUAGAUACCCUUGUAGUC